rnacentral:lncRNA from 1 species
GUUCCAUCAAGAUGGUGGAGGCUCCUCACAUUAUCAGACAAGGCCUGUAACCAUCCCAGCAGCUCCAUUGCACAUCAAUGGAAAAUAUUUUACACCACCUAGAUGAGACUUUCCGGAGCUUCUGGCGUAAACUACAUGAAUGUAGGUAUGUCCUUGUGCUUAAGCCACAGGAAGAACAACAGAGUAACACAGAGCCGGAGAAGAGCGCUUCCUCUCAGGGCAAGGCUAGUCAAUGAGCGUCUACCUAUGCUUCCGUCUGCCUCCUGGGCUGAGAGCAUACUGAGGCUCUGCCUCAAAGCAUUGGCCUCACAGUCCGAAGAUCAACCACCAUCAGUGGUACACUACAUCUGGAUCUUCCUGCUGCUCCUGGCGGGGAAGAGACUUGGAUUAAAAGAAUCUCCAAGUCUGUGGAUUGCAGAUGCAGGCCCUCAUUCAGGCAUGUGGCUGGAGAGGGGCCCUACCCCAGCGCUGUGAUGUGGACACACAAGCAAUCUCCUCUAGCAUCGAUCCAUGCCUGCCACUACUGGGGAUCAGCUGAAACAGGCCCUAGGGCCAUAGCCUAAAUAAUGUCAAUAAAGGCUAAUACUUCCUGCUGCCAUAUGUAGCUCACGUUCACUUAGAUAUGGGGCUUGCUCUCUUAUUCCUAUUGUUAUAUUUUCUUUGUGUUAUUUGCCUAUUUUUUCUUCCAUCCAUCACCCUAUCUUCUAUGAUGCUAUAUCGUAGAGCUGUGUAAUGCUUCGGUGGAUAACCUAUAGGCUAACUCAGCACAUGUUAGUUAAUCUGAUAACUCUUUGCCUAUAACGCCUCAUAAAUCUCAUGUUUAUUACCUUGUUAAUCGCAGAAUGACAAUUGUUUCCUCAUUGUUUAGACAUGUUAAACCAGCAUGAUUAAUUUACCUAAAAUUGUGCCAAUGUCUCACUGCUGUACUUAUGUUUUCAUAUGUUUGACAAUAGUAUGCUUGUGUUCGCUGUUGUGGCAUUCGAAGUAGUAAGCAGGACAGCUGGGAAGUCUAAGUAUGUAGGGCUACUGAAUAUUACCCAAUACUCAAAUUUCCUGUAUUUCUUUUAAACUGUGUAGACAGAGUAGAUAUAUCAGACUUGUCUAGAAAGCAAAUAUAUACUGUGUGUUUAUUUAAGCAUAAUAUUAGUGGUGAGCACUCAGCCCUUGAUAUUAUAUGUACAGAAGUGUGCAUAUGACUUGCCAGUUGGAAACAUAGAAAACUAUGGAUGGUCCCAGAUAUGUAUUUCUCAUUAGGCGUUGUAGGCACCUGUGUACAGAGAUGCCUGUCCUCAGAGGGCACCAGUUUUCAGCAAUUAUAAUGUGCCUUUUUGGACCUUACAUGGGCUGGUUCAAGUGAAAUAAGUGAUAAGAGCCUUGGCCAGUAUCCUCUGUGUCCAGUCAGCCUCCUAAGCUUGAUGUCAGAGCUAUGUCAGGAACAGUUAUAGGUGGUAUAAAAGCUGUACCAGCUCCUCCAAUGUUUAUUUGUUAGGUUGGACAGGAAGUGGAAGGGAUAACAAAGAAAGUGUUUGCAGAAGGAGCAGGAGAUGGCAAUGAGUGGUGCACAUUGUAUAACAGCUACUUCAAAUCAAAAAAAUCACUGGAACCAUAGGACGGUGAGUACUUUGCAAACAACCCUUCAAAAGUCAUGUCGUAAACACCCUUUUCGUGAACCCAAAAGCAACCACCAAACAUAAACAAAGCCUUUUCUUAUUCAUAAAUGUAAGCAUUCAAAGCCUAAAACCGCAAAAAAAUAAGUAAAAUAAACUCUCUGCCUGAAUCCUAGGUUUGGCAUACACCUAUGAAACUAAGCACACCACGUACCCAAUACUAAAUUUAACCACACUCUAAACCUAAAUCCAAAAAUACUAAACACAUUUGAGAACACAACUGUAACCUCUCUCAAGCAUAUAAUCAUAGUACCUUAUAACACUCUUCUCCAAUGCUGAAAUAAACCCCUUUCUAACCUUAAACCUCUUUUUACCCUAACUUCUAACAUUACCGUUGACCCUGCAUGUAUUUAAGCAGCAAUUGCAGUGGGUGCAUACACUUUCUAUACUCACAGAUUCAAGCACAAUACAUUACAAGCAGGAAUAUGCAUGUACAUAUAAACAUGUGCGAUUAUCAUAC